rnacentral:lncRNA from 1 species
AUGGCUUUUCUCUUGCAGAUGGGUCUGUGUGCACAGAGGUUCCAUGGGAGGCAUCUUCAUGCCAGCCAGCCGCUAGGCCCUGGGGCCCCAGAUGUGUUCGGUGGAGGCAGAAACCCUCUACCAGUGCCCUCGCUUAAUACACUCCGAAGAUGCAACAUGGCACCCCAGGAGGUGUGUCUAGCUCCCAGAUCAAGGUCAGCCUUAGAUCUGGAGGUGGCUGAGGAGGUCCCAAGUUCCUGAGUCAGUGACCUUGGGGUCACCUGGGAUCUGGAAUGGCUGGUAUUUCUCCCUGAGGUGGGAACCGAGCCAGCUGGGAACCCACCAACCCCCUGCGGGUUGGCUGGUGAGUUAAUGCCUCGGGCUGGGAACCGCCCCCUGGAGGGUUGGCUGGUUUAAGUCUACGCAGAUGGGAACUCCCAGCCAUUGGUCUUGCCUGUCCUUUCCUGAAGGUCCCUAUUGUUUGUGGGCACCAAUGGAGCAGAGCGUGGAGAGUGCCGUUCCCACGUGAAGAGCUGCCCGCCAUCUGCCCACAGUGUCACGGGAGCCGUGUUCACUCAGCACUAGAGAUCCGGGGCAAAGCUGUGGGACUGGCGGCCUGGAUCCCCUUCAGCCGCUCUGACUCCUGACAGCGGUGCCCUCGGAGGGCGUAGACCGAGAAGGCUGGCCCAGUCCCUCGGUGACUUCAGUGAACAAGAGUUUUUCUGUUGAGUUGGCAGCUGUUUAUGAUUUUUCUCUCCACCUGCCCAUUCAAUAAACUGUAUUCACCCACCUCA